rnacentral:lncRNA from 1 species
AUGAGCUGCCCUGCUGGCUCCCCAGGGACUGCGUCCCGCCAGCCAGAUCACCCGGCUACUGCGGUCCCUUUGUGCAAGGGCCCUGGGCCCAGAGCCCAGCAGGAGUCUGAGAAGCUGUGCAGCCAUAGACCAGGCUUGGAAGGAAAAGAGCUGGGAGAAUGUUUUAGGCUCAUUUUGGUUUCAAAAGAGAGCUGCACAAAUUGCCCUCAGGAGACCAGGUGGAGGGUCCUUCCGGGGAUGUGUGUUCACUCUUGCCACAGCUGGAGGAAGCAGGCCCUGAGUCUUGCACUGCAAAGUGAUGAGAAGGAAGCCCUGGUUAUGCUGGACUUGAAGACAUGCCUGCCGGAAGGGUAACAGGAUAUGGAUGAACUGUGAAAAAUCUCUGCUACAAAGGGAAUGGUUGGAUACACUGUAGUUCUGUCUAACUAUGGAAUAGUAUGUAUUCCUAACAAAAUGAGUUAGACUGAUGCUGGGAAGAUUGCUUGUGGUCUAGUAAGUGAUUAGCAAGUGGCAGAGUGAGAUGCAUACAAUUACCCACGGAACACAACAGCCAACAAACAUCUGCAUGUGCAAGCAUUUCUGUUUGUAUGAGCACGUGUGGAGGGACACAUUGGUACAUCAGGAAGGGGAAUUGAAUGAGGGCUGGGGAUAUUGCAUUAACUUUAAAAAUAUGUGUAUUGGCCGGGCGCGGUGGCUCACGCCUGUAAUCCCAGCACCUUGGGAGGCCGAGGCAGGUGGAUCACGAGGUCAGGAGAUGGAGACCAUCCUGGCUAACACGGUGAAACCUCGUCUCCACUAAAAAAUACAAAAAAUUAGCCGGGCGUAGUGGCGGGUGCCUAUAGUCCCAGCUACUCGGGAGGCUGAGGCAGGAGAAUGUUGUGAACCCAGGAGGCGAAGCUUGCAGUGAGCUGAGAUGGCGCCACUG